rnacentral:rRNA from 1 species
AUGAACGCUGGCGGCGUGCCUAAUACAUGCCAGUCGCGCGAACAGACGAGGAGCUUACUCCUCUGACGUUAGCGGCGGACGGGUGAGUAACACGUGGAUAACCUACCUAUAAGACUGGGAUAACUUCGGGAAACCGGAGCUAAUACCGGAUAACAUGUUGAACCGCAUGGUUCAACAGUGAAAGACGGUCUUGCUGUCACUUAUAGAUGGAUCCGCGUCGCAUUAGCUAGUUGGUAAGGUAACGGCUUACCAAGGCAACGAUGCGUAGCCGACCUGAGAGGGUGAUCGGCCGCACUGGAACUGAGACACGGUCCAGACUCCUACGGGAGGCAGCAGUAGGGAAUCUUCCGCAAUGGGCGAAAGCCUGACGGAGCAACGCCGCGUGAGUGAAGAAGGUCUUCGGAUCGUAAAACUCUGUUAUUAGGGAAGAACAAAUGUGUAAGUAACUAUGCACGUCUUGACGGUACCUAAUCAGAAAGCCACGGCUAACUACGUG